GACGAACGCUGGCGGCGUGCUUAACACAUGCAAGUCGAACGGAAAGGCCCUGCUUUUGUGGGGUGCUCGAGUGGCGAACGGGUGAGUAACACGUGAGUAACCUGCCCUUGACUUUGGGAUAACUUCAGGAAACUGGGGCUAAUACCGGAUAGGAGCUCCUGCUGCAUGGUGGGGGUUGGAAAGUUUCGGCGGUUGGGGAUGGACUCGCGGCUUAUCAGCUUGUUGGUGGGGUAGUGGCUUACCAAGGCUUUGACGGGUAGCCGGCCUGAGAGGGUGACCGGCCACAUUGGGACUGAGAAACGGCCCAGCCUCCGACGGGAGGCAGCGGGGGGGAAUAUGGCAGAAGGGGCGGAGGCCUGAGGCAGCAACGCCGGGUGAGGGAUGCCGGCCUUCGGGUUGUAAACCUCUUUCCCCGGGGAAGAAGCGAGAGUGACGGUAGUGGGAAAAAAAGCCCCGGCUAACUACGUG
rnacentral:rRNA from 1 species